UAUCUAAAAAGUCUACCUACAACUCUUCAACCACGCUAUGGUUUUUGGAUCUUUGACAUAUAUUUUCUACUUGUGACACUUUACCUCGCACAUAUAUAGGUCCCAAUUUUGAAGCUCAUGGAGAGAAUUAGGACCCAUAGGAAAAUAUAGUACCAGCCCCUAGAAAUUGCUGAAACAGUCUUUUCAGGAAGUAUAACACUUGAUUCCAAGCUCGUAGAACCAUGAGAACCUUGUGACAGACCAAAA
rnacentral:lncRNA from 1 species